GAUGAACGCUGGCGGCGUGCCUAAUACAUGCAAGUCGAGCGAACAGACGAGGAGCUUGCUCCUCUGACGUUAGCGGCGGACGGGUGAGUAACACGUGGAUAACCUACCUAUAAGACUGGGAUAACUUCGGGAAACCGGAGCUAAUACCGGAUAAUAUAUUGAACCGCAUGGUUCAAUAGUGAAAGACGGUUUUGCUGUCACUUAUAGAUGGAUCCGCGCCGCAUUAGCUAGUUGGUAAGGUAACGGCUUACCAAGGCAACGAUGCGUAGCCGACCUGAGAGGGUGAUCGGCCACACUGGAACUGAGACACGGUCCAGACCCCUACGGGGGGCAGCAGUAGGGAAUCUUCCGCAAUGGGCGAAAGCCUGACGGAGCAACGCCGCGUGAGUGAUGAAGGUCUUCGGAUCGUAAAACUCUGUUAUUAGGGAAGAACAAAUGUGUAAGUAACUAUGCACGUCUUGACGGUACCUAAUCAGAAAGCCACGGCUAACUACGUG
rnacentral:rRNA from 1 species